rnacentral:rRNA from 1 species
AGAGUUUGAUCCUGGCUCAGGACGAACGCUGGCGGCGCGCCUAACACAUGCAAGUCGAACGAGAGAUGAGGAGCUUGCUCUUCAAAUCGAGUGGCGAACGGGUGAGUAACGCGUGAGGAACCUGCCUCAAAGAGGGGGACAACAGUUGGAAACGACUGCUAAUACCGCAUAAGCCCACGGGUCGGCAUCGACCAGAGGGAAAAGGAGCAAUCCGCUUUGAGAUGGCCUCGCGUCCGAUUAGCUAGUUGGUGAGGUAAUGGCCCACCAAGGCGACGAUCGGUAGCCGGACUGAGAGGUUGAACGGCCACAUUGGGACUGAGACACGGCCCAGACUCCUACGGGAGGCAGCAGUGGGGAAUAUUGCACAAUGGGGGAAACCCUGAUGCAGCGACGCCGCGUGGAGGAAGAAGGUCUUCGGAUUGUAAACUCCUGUUGUUGAGGAAGAUAAUGACGGUACUCAACAAGGAAGUGACGGCUAACUACGUGCCAGCAGCCGCGGUAAAACGUAGGUCACAAGCGUUGUCCGGAAUUACUGGGUGUAAAGGGAGCGCAGGCGGGAAGACAAGUUGGAAGUGAAAUCCAUGGGCUCAACCCAUGAACUGCUUUCAAAACUGUUUUUCUUGAGUAGUGCAGAGGUAGGCGGAAUUCCCGGUGUAGCGGUGGAAUGCGUAGAUAUCGGGAGGAACACCAGUGGCGAAGGCGGCCUACUGGGCACCAACUGACGCUGAGGCUCGAAAGUGUGGGUAGCAAACAGGAUUAGAUACCCUGGUAGUCCACACCGUAAACGAUGAUUACUAGGUGUUGGAGGAUUGACCCCUUCAGUGCCGCAGUUAACACAAUAAGUAAUCCACCUGGGGAGUACGACCGCAAGGUUGAAACUCAAAGGAAUUGACGGGGGCCCGCACAAGCAGUGGAGUAUGUGGUUUAAUUCGACGCAACGCGAAGAACCUUACCAAGUCUUGACAU